rnacentral:rRNA from 1 species
UACGUAGGGGGCAAGCGUUAUCCGGAAUUACUGGGCGUAAAGGGUGCGUAGGUGGCCUGACAAGUCAGGGGUCAAAGGCAACGGCUCAACCGUUGUAAGCCCUUGAAACUGUCGGGCUUGAGUUCAGGAGAGGAAAGCGGAAUUCCAAGUGUAGCGGUGAAAUGCGUAGAUAUUUGGAGGAACACCAGUGGCGAAAGGCGGCUUUCUGGACUGAUACUGACACUGAGGCACGAAAGCGUGGGGAGCAAACAGG